GACGAACGCUGGCGGCGUGCUUAACACAUGCAAGUCGAACGCUGAAGCUCAGCUUGCUGGGUGGAUGAGUGGCGAACGGGUGAGUAACACGUGAGUAACCUGCCCUCUUCUUUGGGAUAACGCCCGGAAACGGGUGCUAAUACUGGAUAUUCACUGAUUCUCGCAUGGGGGUUGGUGGAAAGGUUUUUUCUGGUGGGGGAUGGGCUCGCGGCCUAUCAGCUUGUUGGUGGGGUGAUGGCCUACCAAGGCUUUGACGGGUAGCCGGCCUGAGAGGGUGACCGGUCGCAUUGGGACUGAGAUACGGGCCAGACUACGACGGGAGGCAGCAGUGGGGAAUAUUGCACAAUGGGCGAAAGCCUGAUGCAGCGACGCCGCGUGAGGGAGGGAGGCCUGCGGGUUGUAAACCUCUUUCGCUCAUGGUCAAGCCGCAGCUUUGGGUUGUGGUGAGGGUAGUGGGUAAAGAAGCGCCGGCUAACUACGUG
rnacentral:rRNA from 1 species